GCCCACCAGCCCAACUCGCUGCUGCCUGCCUGACCUCGCUCCCAGCACUGCUGCCCAGACGCUAGGCUCUAAGCCCAGGACUCAGGAUGGGGGAUGAGGAGAAGCGCAACAGGGCCAUCACGGCCCGGAGACUGCACCUGAAGAGCGUCAUGCUCCAGAUUGCGGCCACGGAGCUGGAGAAGGAGAAGAGCGUCCGUGAGACGGAAAAGCAGAACUACCUGUCGGAGCACUGCCCCCCGCUG